AUUGAACGCUGGCGGCAUGAUUUACACAUGCAAGUCGAACGGUAGCAGGCCGCAAGGUGCUGACGAGUGGCGAACGGGUGAGUAAUGCAUCGGAACGUGCCCAGUCGUGGGGGAUAACUACUCGAAAGAGUAGCUAAUACCGCAUACGAUCUAUGGAUGAAAGCGGGGGACCGUAAGGCCUCGCGCGAUUGGAGCGGCCGAUGUCAGAUUAGGUAGUUGGUGGGGUAAAGGCUCACCAAGCCAACGAUCUGUAGCUGGUCUGAGAGGACGACCAGCCACACUGGGACUGAGACACGGCCCAGACUCCUACGGGAGGCAGCAGUGGGGAAUUUUGGACAAUGGGCGCAAGCCUGAUCCAGCAAUGCCGCGUGCAGGAAGAAGGCCUUCGGGUUGUAAACUGCUUUUGUACGGAACGAAACGGCUCUGGUUAAUACCCGGGGCUAAUGACGGUACCGUAAGAAUAAGCACCGGCUAACUACGUG
rnacentral:rRNA from 1 species